rfam:Solanum tuberosum cultivar DM 1-3 516 R44 scf00652_8, whole genome shotgun sequence.
GAUAUAUAUAGAUAUUGAUGUGGCUCAAUCUGAAGACAUGGCUAAAUAUGUAAUUAGCCAUGUGAUUUUGGAUUGAGCCGCGUCAAUAUCUCUCUCUUCCUA